CGGGACACGUGGUAUCCUGUCUGAAUAUGGGGGGACCAUCCUCCAAGGCUAAAUACUCCUGACUGACCGAUAGUGAACCAGUACCGUGAGGGAAAGGCGAAAAGAACCCCGGCGAGGGGAGUGAAAAAGAACCUGAAACCGUGUACGUACAAGCAGUGGGAGCACGCUUAGGCGUGUGACUGCGUACCUUUUGUAUAAUGGGUCAGCGACUUAUAUUCUGUAGCAAGGUUAACCGAAUAGGGGAGCCGAAGGGAAACCGAGUCUUAACUGGGCGUUAAGUUGCAGGGUAUAGACCCGAAACCCGGUGAUCUAGCCAUGGGCAGGUUGAAGGUUGGGUAACACUAACUGGAGGACCGAACCGACUAAUGUUGAAAAAUUAGCGGAUGACUUGUGGCUGGGGGUGAAAGGCCAAUCAAACCGGGAGAUAGCUGGUUCUCCCCGAAAGCUAUUUAGGUAGCGCCUCGUGAAUUCAUCUCCGGGGGUAGAGCACUGUUUCGGCAAGGGGGUCAUCCCGACUUACCAACCCGAUGCAAACUGCGAAUACCGGAGAAUGUUAUCACGGGAGACACACGGCGGGUGCUAACGUCCGUCGUGAAGAGGGAAACAACCCAGACCGCCAGCUAAGGUCCCAAAGUCAUGGUUAAGUGGGAAACGAUGUGGGAAGGCCCAGACAGCCAGGAUGUUGGCUUAGAAGCAGCCAUCAUUUAAAGAAAGCGUAAUAGCUCACUGGUCGAGUCGGCCUGCGCGGAAGAUGUAACGGGGCUAAACCAUGCACCGAAGCUGCGGCAGCGACGCUGAUGCGUUGUUGGGUAGGGGAGCGUUCUGUAAGCCUGUGAAGGUGUGCUGUGAGGCAUGCUGGAGGUAUCAGAAGUGCGAAUGCUGACAUAAGUAACGAUAAAGCGGGUGAAAAGCCCGCUCGCCGGAAGACCAAGGGUUCCUGUCCAACGUUAAUCGGGGCAGGGUGAGUCGACCCCUAAGGCGAGGCCGAAAGGCGUAGUCGAUGGGAAACAGGUUAAUAUUCCUGUACUUGGUGUUACUGCGAAGGGGGGACGGAGAAGGCUAUGUUGGCCGGGCGACGGUUGUCCCGGUUUAAGCGUGUAGGCUGGUUUUCCAGGCAAAUCCGGAAAAUCAAGGCUGAGGCGUGAUGACGAGGCACUACGGUGCUGAAGCAACAAAUGCCCUGCUUCCAGGAAAAGCCUCUAAGCAUCAGGUAACAUCAAAUCGUACCCCAAACCGACACAGGUGGUCAGGUAGAGAAUACCAAGGCGCUUGAGAGAACUCGGGUGAAGGAACUAGGCAAAAUGGUGCCGUAACUUCGGGAGAAGGCACGCUGAUAUGUAGGUGAAGCGACUUGCUCGUGGAGCUGAAAUCAGUCGAAGAUACCAGCUGGCUGCAACUGUUUAUUAAAAACACAGCACUGUGCAAACACGAAAGUGGACGUAUACGGUGUGACGCCUGCCCGGUGCCGGAAGGUUAAUUGAUGGGGUCAGCGCAAGCGAAGCUCUUGAUCGAAGCCCCGGUAAACGGCGGCCGUAACUAUAACGGUCCUAAGGUAGCGAAAUUCCUUGUCGGGUAAGUUCCGACCUGCACGAAUGGCGUAAUGAUGGCCAGGCUGUCUCCACCCGAGACUCAGUGAAAUUGAACUCGCUGUGAAGAUGCAGUGUACCCGCGGCAAGACGGAAAGACCCCGUGAACCUUUACUAUAGCUUGACACUGAACAUUGAGCCUUGAUGUGUAGGAUAGGUGGGAGGCUUUGAAGUGUGGACGCCAGUCUGCAUGGAGCCGGCCUUGAAAUACCACCCUUUAAUGUUUGAUGUUCUAACGUUGACCCGUGAUCCGGGUUGCGGACAGUGUCUGGUGGGUAGUUUGACUGGGGCGGUCUCCUCCUAAAGAGUAACGGAGGAGCACGAAGGUUGGCU
rnacentral:rRNA from 1 species